rnacentral:rRNA from 1 species
UACGUAGGGUGCAAGCGUUGUCCGGAAUUAUUGGGCGUAAAGAGCCCGUAGGCGGUUUGUUGCGUCGGCUGUGAAAUCCCGAGGCUCAACCUCGGGUCUGCAGUCGAUACGAGCAAACUAGAGUGUUGCAGGGGAGACUGGAAUUCCUGGUGUAGCGGUGAAAUGCGCAGAUAUCAGGAGGAACACCGGUGGCGAAGGCGGGUCUCUGGGCCGAUACUGACGCUGAGGAGCGAAAGCGUGGGGAGCAAACAGG